rnacentral:rRNA from 1 species
UACAGAGGUCUCAAGCGUUGCUCGGAUUCAUUGGGCGUAAAGGGUGCGUAGGUGGCGCUGUAAGUCGGGUGUGAAAUUUCGGAGCUUAACUCCGAAACUGCAUUCGAUACUGCGGUGCUUGAGGACUGGAGAGGAGACUGGAAUUCAUGGUGUAGCAGUGAAAUGCGUAGAGAUCAUGAGGAAGACCAGUGGCGAAGGCGGGUCUCUGGACAGUCCCUGACACUGAGGCACGAAGGCCAGGGGAGCAAACGGG